CUGACGCCCCCAGGCCGGGAUACCUGCAGGCUCAAGAAGGAAGGGGAGGAAAUCUCCUCGUUUGCCCGCCUAAGCCCGAAGAAAUGGUCCAGCUGAGCGCCUCCCAGAUGCUGUGAAGGACCCUCCCCUCCCCUCUUCUCCCGGAAUUCAGUCGCAGGUUCAGGGGGAUUUUGCUGCCCCAAUGCCCAGCUUGUCUUGCCUUCCAGGCUGGGAAUGUUGCGAUUAGCCCCUCCUCACAACACAGCCAUUGGGGCGGCUGCUGUCCGCAAAAAUGAAAAAGAAUACAGAAGAAGGAUUGCUGUACAGACUGAGGAUCAACUGACGUAGAAGGAGAAAAAGAAGCAUUCGUACUUAGAAAUUCACGCUGACCUACUACAUGCCAUCCAGAGAUCUAUCAGUUGGGGCAGAUCUACCCUGAUCUAAAGCAGUCAACAAAACCCUAUAGGGACAUUCCUCAAUUCAAUUCCAAAUAUUCAUUCCUUAUUCAAUUCCAAAUAACAGGGUCCUGGUGUACAUCACUACAGGAAUGCCAAGAUCAAGUACAUGAGUUUGUCUUGUAGCAGAUACUGAAGAGCAAAUGUUUAAAUUUGAAACAUAUCAAGCUCAAAUAUUAAGACUGGAUAUUGCCUUUUCUUUAUAUGCCAAAGAAAAUACUAAAGAAUCAAACAACUGCAUAAACAACAUCCACAUACCAUUCAAAAAAGAUGAUCAAAAACCCCCAAAAGAAACAAAAAGACCAAAACACCUUCUUACCAACAAUUAACAGCCAGAUGCAGAGAUUAACACCACGAUUAACAGAAGAUCAACAAUAUAAAAUGACAGCAAACCCCAUUCCCUUCUAACACUGAUGAUGGUACCUAAUUAGGUAAUGAAAUGUCUAAAGAAAACAAGCAGGCUCAGAGAGCACCAAGGACCUCACAGUUCACCCUGAACUAUACAUAUGCUCUUCUAUCAAAAGCUAUUGCGUAUCUAUCUGAUCUAGUCAUUGAGCUAGUCUGUGACCAUAGUCUCUUCUGUGGUUAAAUCUUGGUUGAGUUUCCAGAGUGAUACUUACUUUAUACAGUUCAGUUGGUGAAUCUCUAACUGACAACAUGAUACAACAGAGAAGCCUUUGGAUUAAACUUCUUAUGUACAGCUUUAGUGCACAUAUUGUUUUGCCUCAAAUAUUUAUUUGCCUUUACUAAUAAAUAAAUAGCCUAA